GUGCUCGCUUCAGCAGCACAUAUACUAAAAUUGGAAUGAUACGGAGAUUAGCAUGGCCCCUGUGCAAGGAUGACACGCAAAUUCAUGAAGCAUUCCAUAUUUUU
ensembl:snRNA U6 U6 spliceosomal RNA